UACGAAGGGGGCUAGCGUUGCUCGGAAUCACUGGGCGUAAAGCGCACGUAGGCGGAUCUUUAAGUCAGGGGUGAAAUCCUGGAGCUCAACUCCAGAACUGCCUUUGAUACUGGGGAUCUCGAGUCCGGAAGAGGUGAGUGGAACUCCGAGUGUAGAGGUGAAAUUCGUAGAUAUUCGGAAGAACACCAGUGGCGAAGGCGGCUCACUGGUCCGGUACUGACGCUAAGGCGCGAAAGCGUGGGGAGCGAACAGG
rnacentral:rRNA from 1 species